rnacentral:rRNA from 1 species
CACGUAGGGCGCAAGCGUUGUCCGGAAUUAUUGGGCGUAAAGAGCUCGUAGGUGGUUUGUUACGUCUGCUGUGAAAACCUAGGGCUUAACCCUGGGCUUGCAGUGGAUACGGGCAGACUAGGGGUAGGUAGGGGAGAAUGGAAUUCCUGGUGUAGCGGUGAAAUGCGCAGAUAUCAGGAGGAACACCGGUGGCGAAGGCGGUUCUCUGGGCCUUACCUGACACUGAGGAGCGAAAGCGUGGGGAGCGAACAGG